rnacentral:lncRNA from 1 species
CUGCUGCUUCGCCACGAAAGAGUUCCCGUGCCGUGGGAGUAAGUCUGGGACCUCUGGUCGGACCGGAGAGUCGCAGCUGUGUGUUAGGGCUAGGAUGGCUCCUGGAUGCGCGUGACGCAAGUGACCUUGCGUGUAAAGGGAUACAUGAUCCCUUAAUUCAGGCUCAGGCUGAAGAACUGACCCACUUACAACAGAAGAUACAGGAAGGGAGAGGUGUCUGCUACCUUUUCACCCAGCAUGUGAAGAACACAGUCAAGUCUUUUGAGGGCCUUCUCAGGAACACUGACAUUGCCUACUACCAGAGACAGAGAUUCUGUGAGCAAAUGGUACAAGGAAGCCAGCUGACAGAGAUCCUUGUCAGAAAACUUGCCACAGAAGAUGAGAUCCAGAGCCAGUGGCAGCACCUGAAGGAGACCCUUUUCAUCAACAACUGCCUGUGAGAAAAGCUAGAACGUCAUCACAGCAGCUUUGAUGAAGAAAAUGGUAGGAGAGGCCCAAGUCAGCCUGCUUCUGGCAAUAUGUAUUUUUCUAAAGGAUGCACCUCUAACCUCUACAGGCAAAUCAUAGAUUCCAUUGUCCAGCUGUAUAAUGAAAACAGAGUUCUCAGAGAAGAAUACCGGAGACUCUCCCGACUUGCCUGAAUCAAAUUUCCAGAGGUAA